rnacentral:rRNA from 1 species
GACGAACGCUGGCGGCGUGCUUAACACAUGCAAGUCGAACGGAAAGGCCCCUUCGGGGGUACUCGAGUGGCGAACAGGUGAGUAACACGUGAGUAACCUGCCCUUGACUUCGGGAUAACUUCAGGAAACUGGGGCUAAUACCGGAUAGGAAUCCUUGCUGCAUGGUGGGGGUUGGAAAGCUUCGGCGGUUUUGGAUGGACUCGCGGCUUAUCAGCUUGUUGGUGGGGUAGUGGCUUACCAAGGCUUUGACGGGUAGCCGGCCUGAGAGGGCGACCGGCCACAUUGGGACUGAGCUACGGCCCAGACUCCUACGGGAGGCAGCAGUGGGGAAUAUUGCACAAUGGGCGGAAGCCUGAUGCAGCAACGCCGCGUGCGGGAUGACGGCCUUCGGGUUGUAAACCGCUUUCAGCAGGGGCGAAGCUUGUGGUGACAGUACCUGCAGAAGAAGCACCGGCUAACUACGUG